rnacentral:rRNA from 1 species
CCUACGGGAGGCAGCAGUGGGGAAUAUUGGGCAAUGGGCGCAAGCCUGACCCAGCAACGCCGCGUGAAGGAAGACUGUUUUCGGGUUGUAAACUUCUUUUCUCAGGGACGAAGCAAGUGACGGUACCUGAGGAAUAAGCCACGGCUAACUACGUGCCAGCAGCCGCGGUAAUACGUAGGUGGCGAGCGUUAUCCGGAUGUACUGGGUGUAAAGGGUGUGUAGGCGGAGACGCAAGUCAGAUGUGAAAACCACGGGCUCAAACUGUGGUCUGCAUUUGAAACUGUGUUUCUGGAGUACUGGAGAGGUAGGCGGAAUUCGUGGUGUAGCGGUGAAAUGCGUAGAUAUUAGGAGGAACACCAGUGGCGAAGGCGGUCUACUGGACAGCAACUGACGCUGAGGCGCGAAAGCGUGGGGAGCAAACAGGAUUAGAUACCCCAGUAGUC